AUGAACGCUGGCGGCGUGCCUAAUACAUGCAAGUCGAGCGAACAGACGAGGAGCUUGCUCCUCUGACGUUAGCGGCGGACGGGUGAGUAACACGUGGAUAACCUACCUAUAAGACUUGGAUAACUUCGGGAAACCGGAGCUAAUACCGGAUAAUAUAUUGAACCGCAUGGUUCAAUAGUGAAAGACGGUUUUGCUGUCACUUAUAGAUGGAUCCGCGCCGCAUUAGCUAGUUGGUAAGGUAACGGCUUACCAAGGCAACGAUGCGUAGCCGACCUGAGAGGGUGAUCGGCCACACUGGAACUGAGACACGGUCCAGACUCCUACGGGAGGCAGCAGUAGGGAAUCUUCCGCAAUGGGCGAAAGCCUGACGGAGCAACGCCGCGUGAGUGAUGAAGGUCUUCGGAUCGUAAAACUCUGUUAUUAGGGAAGAACAAAUGUGUAAGUAACUAUGCACGUCUUGACGGUACCUAAUCAGAAAGCCACGGCUAACUACGUG
rnacentral:rRNA from 1 species